rnacentral:rRNA from 1 species
GCCUUCCUACGGGACGCAGCAGUGAGGAAUAUUGGUCAAUGGGCGGAAGCCUGAACCAGCCAAGUCGCGUGAGGGAAUAAGGCCCUACGGGUCGUAAACCUCUUUUGCCGGGGAGCAAGGGCGGGGACGUGUCCCGGCCCGGAGAGUACCCGGAGAAAAAGCAUCGGCUAACUCCGUGCCAGCAGCCGCGGUAAUACGUAUGGUGCAAGCGUUAUCCGGAUUUACUGGGUGUAAAGGGAGCGCAGGCGGCACGGCAAGCCUGAUGUGAAAGCCCGCGGCCCAACCGCGGGACUGCAUUGGG